AUAUCACCUUCUCAAUUUAUUUUUGGGGCUCCUAAUCCAGCGUUUACUCAGUGAUAUCACUAGGAUCAAGUUCUUCUUAGUCUCUUGGUUUCCUCUCUUUCUGAAGGGGUUUGACCUAAGUUGUUGCCCUCAAUUCUUCGCGUGUUGUCUCAAUUCUUCGCAUGUUCUCUUCGGCAUCUCAUGCACGUAUAACUCGCAUCCGAUUUCAACUCUCUACAUUAAAGAAAGGUGGACCAUCUCUCCUUAGAUGAUCUCUUUGGCCACCUCCUCAAUUUUGAAGCUUGCCUUUAUCAACAGAAUUCAUCAAUUGAACUCAACAUCGCAUCGGAAAACCUUGCUAACAAAUCUAAUGUUACACGAUGACGUGGUCACACCAACCGUGGUCACCCUAAUAACUCCUCUUGUGGCUGUGGUGGUGCCUUGUCUAAUACAUUUUCCUCUUCCUCCUAUCCAAUGUGUCAAGGCUGUGGGAAAUCUGGUCACACAACUCUCAAUUGUUGGCAUCGCUUUGAUCACUCCUAUCAAACAUAUCAACAACUCCCCACAACAUAUGUUGUUGCCCCUAACCCCAGAUUCGAUGCACAAUGGUAUACUGAUAUAGGUGCUACACAUCAUUUAACUAAUAAGUUUCAAAACAUGAAUCUCCAUGCUCAGCCAUAUCAGGGUCAAGAUCAUAUUAAAAUUAGGGAUGGUUCAGGUUUGCCUAUAGCCCACGUUGGGGCCUCUUGUUUUUCCUUCCCCAUACUACUUUUUCUUUUGAAACAAUGUUACAUGUACCCCAUGCAAGUAAAAAAUUGGUAGUUGUUAGCAAAUCCACCACCGAUAACUAUGUUUUUCUUUAAAUUUCAUGACCGAUACUUUUACAUAAAGGAUGAGAAAACAGGUCAAAUACUACUGCACAACAAGACUAAGGACGGGCUCUAUCCACUAUUCCCAGCCUUCACAACCACAUUCUCAUCACAAGCAUUCCUCCCCUCCUGAGUGUCUCUUCAAAUAUGGCAUUUCAGACUUGGUCAUUCCUCUAUGCAAAUUGUUAAAGCUAUUAUGUCUAGGUUUCUCUUCCAAUGUCUUCACAUAGAUUAGAGUUUGUAUAUGGCGCUUGCCAACAGGGCAAAAGCCACUAGUUAUCUUUUGAGUUGUCUUCUCUCCUUCUCAAGGUCCUUUAGAUUUAAUAUUUUUGGAUGUUUGGGGCCUUGCCCCUUGUCUUUCUACUAUUGGCAAUAAAUACUACGUCAUUUUUAUUGAUCAUUAUAUUAAAUUUUCUUGGUUA